GAAAUGCGAUAAGUAAUGUGAAUUGCAGAAUUCAGUGAAUCAUCGAAUCUUUGAACGCAUAUUGUGCCCGUCAGCAUUCUGGCGGGCAUGCCUGUUCGAGCGUCAUUUCAACCCUCAGGACCCCCCUUUCGCGGGGAGGGACCUGGCGUUGGGGAUCGGCCCGCCCCCCGUGGCGGCGCCGUCCCCGAAAUCUAGUGGCGGUCUCGCUGCAGCCUCCCCUGCGUAGUAGUUACAACCUCGCAUCGGAGCGCGGCGCGGCCACGCCGUAAAACCCCCGACUUUCUGAACGUUGACCUCGGAUCAGGUAGGAAUACCCGCUGAACUUAAGC
rnacentral:misc_RNA from 1 species